rnacentral:miRNA from 1 species
GUUUUAACUUGUAACAACCUUGUUGAUAUUAUCAGACUUGUUGCACGGUUCCAACAAGUCCGAUACAGUCAUGAUAUACCCUGUAACAACAGUAUUGUUACAACCUUGUGUCGUCAACCUUGUAACAUUCGUGUUAUAUCAUGACGGUACCAGACUUGUUAGAACAAUCUUGUAACAAGUCUGAUAAUGCCAUCAAGCUUGUUGCAAGUUGUUAAC